rnacentral:rRNA from 1 species
UUCGGGUUGAUCCCGCGGAGGUUACUGCUAUCGAGGUUCGACUAAGCCAUGCGAGUCGAAUGUAGCAAUACAUGGCGUACUGCUCAGUAACACGUGGACAACCUACCCUUAGGUCGGGGAUAAACCCGGGAAACUGGGUAUAAUACCCGAUAGUCCUCGAAUGCUGGAAUGCAUCGAGGUCUAAAGCUCCGGCGCCUAAGGAUGGGUCUGCGGCCUAUCAGGUAGUAGUGGGUGUAGCGUACCUACUAGCCUACGACGGGUACGGGUUGUGAGAGCAAGAGCCCGGAGAUGGAUUCUGAGACACGAAUCCAGGCCCUACGGGGUGCAGCAGGCGCGAAAACUUUACAAUGCUGGCAACAGCGAUAAGGGGACCUCGAGUGCCAGGUUACAAAUCUGGCUGUCGUGAUGCCUAAAAAGCAUUGCAUAGCAAGGGCUGGGCAAGACCGGUGCCAGCCGCCGCGGUAACACCGGCGGCUCGAGUGGUAACCGUUAUUAUUGGGUCUAAAGGGUCUGUAGCCGGCCGGAUAAGUCUCUUGGGAAAUCUGGCAGCUUAACUGUCAGGCUUUCAGGAGAUACUGUCUGGCUCGAGGCCGGGAGAGGUGAGAGGUACUCAGGGGUAGGGGGAAAUCUUGUA